rnacentral:lncRNA from 1 species
GCGCAAUUCGUUUCUAUACGGGAUUGAGGCAAAAUUAUUUAAUAACUUACUAAAAAUACACAUUGCAAAGUGAUCAAACCCAACACAGACAGCCACUAAUUUAAUCACUCUUUUUAGGCAAUUUCACUGUUUUAACAGCCACCUCCUGCAGGUGUAUCAGUGCCAUCGGCGGGCAUGCGCUAUCCUAGUGAUGCUGAGCUGGAUAACUUUCUGGAUGAACAAGCGAGACACAGGCAACCGUUUGACAGUUGGAGUCACAAUAAUUUUAACCAUUAUGUUUUUACUCAGUUAUGGUAAUUCUUCCGUGCCCAAAAUGAGUUAUGUGAAAAUUUAUCUCUUGUCAUCAUUCAGUAG